rnacentral:rRNA from 1 species
CACGUAGGGUGCGAGCGUUGUCCGGAAUUAUUGGGCGUAAAGAGCUCGUAGGCGGUGUGUCGCGUCGGCCGUGAAAACCUGGGGCUUAACUCUGGGCUUGCGGUCGAUACGGGCAUCACUGGAGUUCGGCAGGGGAGAUUGGAAUUCCCGGUGUAGCGGUGAAAUGUGUAGAGAUCGGGAGGAACACCGGUGGCGAAGGCGGGUCUCUGGGCAUCUCCUGACGCUGAGGCGCGAAAGCGUGGGGAGCAAACGGG